UGGGGAAUAUUGGACAAUGGGGGGAACCCUGAUCCAGCCAUGCCGCGUGUGUGAAGAAGGCCUUAUGGUUGUAAAGCACUUUAAGCGAGGAGGAGGGUACUGGUAUUAAUACUACCAGGUACUGGACGUUACUCGCAGAAUAAGCACCGGCUAACUCUGUGCCAGCAGCCGCGGUAAUACAGAGGGUGCGAGCGUUAAUCGGAUUUACUGGGCGUAAAGCGUGCGUAGGCGGCUAAUUGAGUCGGAUGUGAAAUCCCCGAGCUUAACUUGGGAAUUGCAUUCGAUACUGGUUAGCUAGAGUGUGGGAGAGGAUGGUAGAAUUCCAGGUGUAGCGGUGAAAUGCGUAGAGAUCUGGAGGAAUACCGAUGGCGAAGGCAGCCAUCUGGCUUAACACUGACGCUGAGGUACGAAAGCAUGGGGAGCAAACAGG
rnacentral:rRNA from 1 species